GGAUCUGGUCGGACCAACGUAUUGGGC
rnacentral:sRNA from 1 species